UCUCUGUCGCGCAAGAUUAUUCGGUGAAAUAUGACCAACGCACGUGAUGUAAUUCCACUACGUAAGGAAUUUCGUAAUCGAACAACAACAUCGGACAACGUGUGGUUUUUGCGACAUCAGAGCAGAAGGUUCACGAGCAUGUGUGCGUGAUCAAGUAGAGAUCGAUGCCACGAGGCUGACCACGUUAGUAUCCAAGUUACAGUAUAGAGUUCCAUCGCGGAAGAGGAUGGAAGAACCGACAUGAACAAUGCGACACCAAGUGGCCAAGAGCUGCGAAACUACUUACUGUUACAGUUUCGGUGAUCCUGUGUCUUCGUUCUUGGCCAACCAAUUCGUCGAAAGAACAUCCGCGCCAUGGUCUGCUGUAUUCGAGACUGACAGGACAGUAUGACGUCCUUUAAACGGAUCUCCUUUGGCAACCACAUCGGUUCCAGGAAGAAAUUAUUUAAGACUGCCCUUUCGAUGCGAUAAUUACCGCACCCUCGACGAAAUACCUACCUUCUAGAAGAAAACCAAACAGGAAAACGAUCUGAGAACGUGAAUGUUCGACUUUGACAACGUUUCAAAUCGUUUCCUUCGAUGUCCAGGACUGCGUCACGCGGUACGAAAUAUCAUGGAUGGUGAAAUAUUUCAUGGAAUAUUGCAUAUCACGAGAAACCGAUAAUUGCUCGAGAGAACGUUAUAUCAAACGGUAAUCACGAUUAAUCGAAUACAGAGAGUCGAUCAGGGCCGCGUCGAAAGCGAUGUCAUCCUACGCGCCGAAAUAAUUUCGAGAUCGAAAAAUAAUUUGAUGUUCAAUCAUCGACGAUGACGCGUAUACGCAUAACACAUAGGGCAUCAAUGACGCGAUAUCAUUU
rnacentral:misc_RNA from 1 species